UUAGACGAAGAAUUUUAGUAGAGUAAAAGUUUUGUUUAGUUAACAUUCGAUCUCGUAAAAGAUGGUGAAAUUUUGUUGAUAAGGUGAAAUUUUUAAUUUAAGGGAAAUUCUUAAGAAAUCUGUUGAGACUAAAAAAUUUAGGUAAAAAACCAGGAUUAGAUACCCUGUUAUUCUAAAUAAUAGUGUAAAUAGGGUAGUAAAAGUUGUUCUUCAAACCCAAAGAUUUUGGCGGCAUCUUAUCCUAAUAGAGGAGCUUGUCCUAUAAUUGAUAGUCCCCAUUUUAUCUUACCCUUUUUUGUUAAGCUYGUAUACCGCCGUUGUCAGAUUACUUUAAAAGAACSUUUUCAGGAAAAAUAUUUUUCUUACUUCAGGUCAAGGUGCAGUUUAUAAAAGGGCAGUGAUGAGCUACAAUUUUUAAUACGAAAUACGGAUUUUAGGCUUAAAAUUCAGGUGAAGGUGGAUUUAUUAGUAAAUUUACUUAAGUACAGUAAGUUGAAUAAGGCAAUAGGAUGUGCACAUAUCGCCCGUCACUCUCUUCUCAAGAGGAGAUAAGUCGUAACAAA
rnacentral:rRNA from 1 species